rnacentral:rRNA from 1 species
UACGUAGGGUGCGAGCGUUGUCCGGAAUUAUUGGGCGUAAAGGGCUCGUAGGCGGUUUGUCGCGUCGGGAGUGAAAUCCACUGGCUUAACUGGUGGCUUGCUUUCGAUACGGGCAGACUGGAGGUAUGCAGGGGAGAACGGAAUUCCUGGUGUAGCGGUGAAAUGCGCAGAUAUCAGGAGGAACACCGAUGGCGAAGGCAGCCCCCUGGGCUAACACUGACGCUCAGGCACGAAAGCGUGGGGAGCAAACAGG